UGGGGAAUAUUGGACAAUGGGGGGAACCCUGAUCCAGCCAUGCCGCGUGUGUGAAGAAGGCCUUUUGGUUGUAAAGCACUUUAAGCGAGGAGGAGGCGCUCUAGGAUAAUACCCUAGAUACGUGGACGUUACUCGCAGAAUAAGCACCGGCUAACUCUGUGCCAGCAGCCGCGGUAAUACAGAGGGUGCGAGCGUUAAUCGGAUUUACUGGGCGUAAAGCGCGCGUAGGUGGCUAAUUAAGUCAAAUGUGAAAUCCCCGAGNUUAACUUGGGAAUUGCAUUCGAUACUGGUUAGCUAGAGUAUGGGAGAGGAUGGUAGAAUUCCAGGUGUAGCGGUGAAAUGCGUAGAGAUCUGGAGGAAUACCGAUGGCGAAGGCAGCCAUCUGGCCUAAUACUGACACUGAGGUGCGAAAGCAUGGGGAGCAAACAGGAUUAGAUACCCUGGUAGUCCAUGCCGUAAACGAUGUCUACUAGCCGUUGGGGCC
rnacentral:rRNA from 1 species